rnacentral:lncRNA from 1 species
UCGAUACAUUUUGUGCGCAUGCGCGAAUGAUCUCGGUUUACGUAAAGUCGAAAAAUUUAAAUGUGUUGAAUUUUACUUAUUUCUUGCUUGCUUUCCAAGAGAAUCUUCAAUAAUCGGCGUCUUAAUGGAAAAGGUAGAAAGAAACUAUUCGUUGAGGCUUUAAAUCUAAGUUUAUCGCGGGAUUUUUAACGACAUUCACCGGUUUCGUAAAGCGGUCGUUUGUUUUGGCGCAAUGCGGAAGUGUCGUCUUGAUGCAGUUUUUUGGCUGAAAAGUUGACGAAUUCUUCGUCUCACUACGUCUGUCAUUUGUUUUACGUUUGCCAUCAGUUUUAGGCAGUAACUGUUAGCUGUCGAGAGUACCGGAACAGACUGUGAAGUAUUUCUAUAGAUCUAAAUAUGGUUCGUAAAAAAGGACAGUUUGUCUGGCAUUCGGAAUAUUUCUACACUAGUGAUCCAUGAGGACUUUAUCCAGUUUCCAGAAUGGCAGGAAGGAAGGACUUAUUGAAUUGGACCACUUGUCAAGGCAGCUUACAAAAGUCAGAAAUUUAAAAGCAGCCACACUAAGCUUGUUUACAUUUUCCAUAAAAUUUCCAAAAUAAAUACUGGAAAAAAACAUGGAAAUACAUACGACAUCAACACAAAAUAGCACAGCACCAGAAUGAAUGCGGAAGUUGUCAGGAGUGGUAUGGCAUUGUUCCUGUUCAUUUAUGGUUUACAGAUUCCAAAAGUCUGAACCAGAUAUGAGUAGAGUACAGUUUGAGAAAUGUCUUGGUAGAACAGAUACUAAGGAAAUAAUAAAGAGCAGAACAGACCACAUUUCUCCUUCUUAUAACAGGUAAAGUUCCAAGAUAGGGCGAGUACAAUAAUGCAGCCCCAGUGAGAGUUCGUGAUGAGGUGUCAACUGUAAAUGUGUGGUCGUUAAAUGAUGUGCAGUCAGAUUGACAAGUAUUUGAAGUAACAUUAGUUUAUAAAUUAUCAGUUAUGAGAGAAAUUUUUGCUGAGCUUUGUGCAGGAUACUCUUAAAAAAUGAACCAGAAUUUUAUAUUAUAAGUACAAUGUCAGAUGUACUCCAGACUUCACACAUAUGUUGAUGUUUAUACAUAUGUGGUGAUUAAUUUGUCAAGUGAAGAAAUUUUAUGAAUAAUGUUAGUGGGUGACAGAACAGAAGUACAAAGUCAAUUACAGAGGUCGACAACACUGAGUUUAGGA